rnacentral:tRNA from 1 species
GGACUAUGGCUCAGUGGUAGAGCGCUUGCCUUGCACCAGUGAGACAUUGAGUUCGAUCCUCAGCACCA